UUGACAGCCUUGAAGAUGGAAGUCCUCUUUUUAGCCACAGAAGAGGUACAAGGAGAGCAGUGGCAAUGCAAGCUUCCACAAACUGCUCUGCCAAUGUCUCAGCUCAGAUCUAGAGAGUCCUAUCUUUAGCAGUAAUAGGAUAGUUCAGUCUUUAUGCCUAUUCUUUGCUGAUACUACC
rnacentral:sRNA from 1 species